rnacentral:snRNA from 1 species
AUACUUACCUGGCAGGGGAGAUACCACGAUCACCAAGGUGGUUUUCCCAGGGUGAGGCUUAUCCAUUGCACUCCAGAUGUGUUGAUCCCUGCGAUUUCCCCAAAUGAAAAAGAAAAAAGAAAAAACCCACACUUUACUGCACAAAGCCUGCCCGUCUUACUUAUGUUUUUAUAACA